rnacentral:rRNA from 1 species
CCUACGGGAGACUGCAGUGAGGAAUAUUGGUCAAUGGGCGCUAGUCUGAACCAGCCAAGUAGCGUGAAGGAUGACUGCCCUAUGGGUUGUAAACUUCUUUUAUAAAGGAAUAAAGUGAGGCACGUGUGCCUUUUUGUAUGUACUUUAUGAAUAAGGAUCGGCCAACUCCGUGCCAGCACCCGCGGUAAUACGGAGGAUCCGAGCGUUAUCCGGAUUGAUUGGGUUUAAAGGGAGCGUAGAUGGGUUGUUAAGUCAGUUGUGAAAGUUUGUGGCUCAACCUUAAAAUUGCACUUGAUACUGGCAGGCUUGAGUACAGUUGAGGUAGGCAGAAUUCGUGGUGUAGCGGUGAAAUGCUUAGAUAUCACGAAGAACUCCGAUUGCGAAGGCAGCUCACUAAACUGCCACUGACAUUGAUGCUCGAAAGUGUGGGUAUCAAACAGGAUUAGAUACCCGAGUAGUC